rnacentral:rRNA from 1 species
GACGAACGCUGGCGGCGUGCCUAACACAUGCAAGUCGAACGGGGAGUUAGCAAUAACUCCUAGUGGCGAACGGGUGAGUAACGCGUAGACAACCUGCCUCUAAACUGGGGACAACACCGCGAAAGUGGUGCUAAUACCGAAUGUGGUAACUUGAUCGCAUGAUCGAGUUAAGAAAGAUGGCCUCUAUUUAUAAGCUAUCGAUUAGAGAUGGGUCUGCGUCUGAUUAGCUAGUUGGUGAGGUAAUGGCUCACCAAGGCGACGAUCAGUAGCCGGUCUGAGAGGUGGAACGGCCACACUGGGACUGAGACACGGCCCAGACUCCUACGGGAGGCAGCAGUGGGGAAUCUUCCGCAAUGGACGAAAGUCUGACGGAGCAACGCCGCGUGAGUGAAGAAGGUCUUCGGAUUGUAAAGCUCUGUCGUUUGGGACGAACGUGGGUAGUGUGAAUAAUGCUAUCUAAUGACGGUACCAAAGGAGGAAGCCACGGCUAACUACGUGCCAGCCGCCGCCGUAA